rnacentral:rRNA from 1 species
GGUAUCCUGUCUGAAUAUGGGGGGACCAUCCUCCAAGGCUAAAUACUCCUGACUGACCGAUAGUGAACCAGUACCGUGAGGGAAAGGCGAAAAGAACCCCGGCGAGGGGAGUGAAAAAGAACCUGAAACCGUGUACGUACAAGCAGUGGGAGCCUCUUUAUGGGGUGACUGCGUACCUUUUGUAUAAUGGGUCAGCGACUUAUAUUCUGUAGCAAGGUUAACCGAAUAGGGGAGCCGAAGGGAAACCGAGUCUUAACUGGGCGUUAAGUUGCAGGGUAUAGACCCGAAACCCGGUGAUCUAGCCAUGGGCAGGUUGAAGGUUGGGUAACACUAACUGGAGGACCGAACCGACUAAUGUUGAAAAAUUAGCGGAUGACUUGUGGCUGGGGGUGAAAGGCCAAUCAAACCGGGAGAUAGCUGGUUCUCCCCGAAAGCUAUUUAGGUAGCGCCUCGUGAAUUCAUCUCCGGGGGUAGAGCACUGUUUCGGCAAGGGGGUCAUCCCGACUUACCAACCCGAUGCAAACUGCGAAUACCGGAGAAUGUUAUCACGGGAGACACACGGCGGGUGCUAACGUCCGUCGUGAAGAGGGAAACAACCCAGACCGCCAGCUAAGGUCCCAAAGUCAUGGUUAAGUGGGAAACGAUGUGGGAAGGCCCAGACAGCCAGGAUGUUGGCUUAGAAGCAGCCAUCAUUUAAAGAAAGCGUAAUAGCUCACUGGUCGAGUCGGCCUGCGCGGAAGAUGUAACGGGGCUAAACCAUGCACCGAAGCUGCGGCAGCGACACUAUGUGUUGUUGGGUAGGGGAGCGUUCUGUAAGCCUGUGAAGGUGGCCUGUGAGGGUUGCUGGAGGUAUCAGAAGUGCGAAUGCUGACAUAAGUAACGAUAAAGCGGGUGAAAAGCCCGCUCGCCGGAAGACCAAGGGUUCCUGUCCAACGUUAAUCGGGGCAGGGUGAGUCGACCCCUAAGGCGAGGCCGAAAGGCGUAGUCGAUGGGAAACAGGUUAAUAUUCCUGUACUUGGUGUUACUGCGAAGGGGGGACGGAGAAGGCUAUGUUGGCCGGGCGACGGUUGUCCCGGUUUAAGCGUGUAGGCUGGUUUUCCAGGCAAAUCCGGAAAACCAAGGCUGAGGCGUGAUGACGAGGCACUACGGUGCUGAAGCGACAAAUGCCCUGCUUCCAGGAAAAGCCUCUAAGCAUCAGGUAACAUCAAAUCGUACCCCAAACCGACACAGGUGGUCAGGUAGAGAAUACCAAGGCGCUUGAGAGAACUCGGGUGAAGGAACUAGGCAAAAUGGUGCCGUAACUUCGGGAGAAGGCACGCUGAUAUGUAGGUGAAGCGACUUGCUCGUGGAGCUGAAAUCAGUCGAAGAUACCAGCUGGCUGCAACUGUUUAUUAAAAACACAGCACUGUGCAAACACGAAAGUGGACGUAUACGGUGUGACGCCUGCCCGGUGCCGGAAGGUUAAUUGAUGGGGUUAGCGGUAACGCGAAGCUCUUGAUCGAAGCCCCGGUAAACGGCGGCCGUAACUAUAACGGUCCUAAGGUAGCGAAAUUCCUUGUCGGGUAAGUUCCGACCUGCACGAAUGGCGUAAUGAUGGCCAGGCUGUCUCCACCCGAGACUCAGUGAAAUUGAACUCGCUGUGAAGAUGCAGUGUACCCGCGGCAAGACGGAAAGACCCCGUGAACCUUUACUAUAGCUUGACACUGAACAUUGAGCCUUGAUGUGUAGGAUAGGUGGGAGGCUUUGAAGUGUGGACGCCAGUCUGCAUGGAGCCGACCUUGAAAUACCACCCUUUAAUGUUUGAUGUUCUAACGUUGGCCCGUAAUCCGGGUUGCGGACAGUGUCUGGUGGGUAGUUUGACUGGGGCGGUCUCCUCCUAAAGAGUAACGGAGGAGCACGAAGGUUGGCUAAUCCUGGUCGGACAUCAGGAGGUUAGUGCAAUGGCAUAAGCCAGCUUGACUGCGAGCGUGACGGCGCGAGCAGGUGCGAAAGCAGGUCAUAGUGAUCCGGUGGUUCUGAAUGGAAGGGCCAUCGCUCAACGGAUAAAAGGUACUCCGGGGAUAACAGGCUGAUACCGCCCAA